UAACUGUUGCUUCUUGACCUGGAUACCAAUUUCUCAAGAGGCAGGUAAGUGAUAGGGCCCACAUGGGGUCUCAUUGAUAAGAUGGCUCCUUACAUUGACCUUGCAAACAGAUUAAAAUCACAGUGAUCUGUGAGACUGACCAAAUUGUCCAAAUGGCAUGCUGUUAUCUCACUAGAGCCUAUCUUCUCAAAGCUAUGAGACCACUAGAUUCCAGACCUCUGGCUAUGUGACCAUCCCUUCAGAGAAUUUUUCAUUGAUGGGAUAUAAGAAGGACUCCAUCAGAAAGGGAGGAUGCCUGUUCUCCUUAAGAGCCAGUCACCCUCUCUUUUCCCUCUAAUAAAUUUCCCUUUUCUUGCCUGACUGCCCGGCUUGCUCUCUUUUUCUCUGCACUUGCCUUAACAUUCUGGUGCUGAAACCUGGGAGGGAAGAUCCACCGCAACUGGGUGGGCUCCUCUCACAAGCCCAGCUCCAGUGGUCCCCUCGCUCAGACCUUGCUGAGAAACUGAGUGAGCUCUGGGACGUGACUCUCCACUUGCCUUGUGACUGACAUCCACUCACCGGCCCACAUUUCAUCCAAGGCUAGAUUCCCUGGCAACCAUGGUCCUCCAAAAAAGAAGAGGAUUAGACCUCACAGCAGAAAAAGGAGGCCUAUGCCUAUUUUUGGAGGAAGCCUGUUGGUUCUAUGCCAAUAAAUCAGGCAUUGUGAAGGAAACAGCAAGAAAUCUGACAAACAGCCUCGAGAAUACGCCAACACAUUAGCAAUACAUGGGAAAACUGGGAUCGCUUACAAGCCUUCACCAACCAAACUAUCCACGAGCUACUUCUAACUCAAUCUGAUUAUCAAAAACUUCUCAAAGCUGUGAGACCACCAGAUUCCAGAUCUCCAGCUAUGUGGAGAAUAUCCCUUCAGAGAAUUUUUCAUUGGUGGGUAUAAGAAGGACUCCAUCAAAAAGGGAGGAUGCUGUUUCUCCUUAAGAGCCAAUCACCCUCUCUUUUCCCUCUAAUAAAUUUCCCUUUUCUUGCCUGA